rnacentral:misc_RNA from 1 species
GAAUCAUGAGAAAUCAUUGAAAAGUGGGAAACUGGUCCUUAAAAUACUCAGCAUCCUAGUUACACUGUUGAUAAAAAUUGCAACUUUGCUUGGUACGACACACAGCUGAGAGAAUAGCAAGGAACUAAGGUUAUUUCAUUAAAAUCUUUGCAAAAAGCAUAUUCUUCUGAGCGCAAUGCUAUAUCAGCAUCUGCGUAUCAGUUGAAGGCUAGCCAGAUCUAUCCAUCAGUUUCCA